AAAAACGCAAAUUUUAUGAAAUAAACUUUCGCGUUUUGCAGUUCGCGAAUCGAAGAAAAAGUCUAUUUUUGCGUGAAAAAACUUUCGCGCAUGAGUAAAAAAUAAGAUUUUCUUCUUAAUUUUCCUUAUUUUUCCUGCUUUGUUUAAUGUAAAAACAUUUCUUCAACUUCCCACUCAGAAUCAGUUUCGCCAUAGGUUUCUCCAUCUUCUCCAAUGUACCGCUGAAUUUUGCUACCACAUAACAAAUUGAAAUUCUCCUACCGUGUUAUUUUGAGUCUGUCGAAGACAGAGCCGUUGGCAACCUUUUUGAUUUCCGCCGGCGAAGGCGGAAUCUUUAAUAUCGCCUGGGAAGAUAGAGAGAUAGAUAGAUAGAGACAGCCCAGAGCCUGGACGCCUAAAACUUGUCCGGGCUAAAGCUUAAAUCCUUGUUUUGACAGAUUCUUUUCUGAGAACGAGGCUAAAUUCAGUUUUAAAGACAAUUAAUUCUGAUAUAUAUCACAACCAAAUCUCGGUAUAAGUUACGGGAAAUAGCAAAGCAUGGUUUUCCUUUGUUACGUUGUGUCAUUCGUAAAGAGUGAGCCAAUGACAUAAAUUUUUAGGACUUACGUACAGGGCACUUUGGUUACACUAAUAAGCGCAAGAAAUGAACACAUAAAAUUUGGUACUUAUUACAAAAAUACCAAUGGGUUUGUUUACAAAGAAAACAGCCUCGAUGUUGUUUGAUGUUGUUCUUACAGGUAGCUUAGCUACUAUAGUUACAUUUAGGAUUAAACUAGCAUUUAUUACUUAAUACUCAGUAAAAUAGGUCAAGUUUGAAUAUUAAACUUUUUCGCUAUAGCUAGCUAGACUAAGCAUGAAAGGAGCUGGGUUAAAAGUCAAAACUUAAAGAGGAAAAUUACAUCACAUUUUUUAAGAUUAUACUACACAUAUUUGAGAACACCUGAAAAAUGCAUUGUUCAUCAAGUUACCCCAUAUGGCUAAUAUGGAAGAUUUCUUCAUAAAAAGCAUCAAAACUUUUUUCGUGUGGAUUACUUUUACAUUAACAAAAAUUUAAAAUUUGAAGAUAAACUUUUGCGAUUUUGUCAUUCAUUAGUUUUCAAAUUUCUCGCUGGAAAUUUUUAAGGUUUAAAACCCAUGUCUCACAGUAACUUUUUCGUUCUUAUCCUAAUGUUAAUACGUGAGUUGUGCAACAACUUUUGCAGGAAAAUAAAAACACAUCAAGAGAAAAAGUUUGUUAUUAAAAUAUUAUAAACUAGUUGUUAGCCCGUGGAAAAUCCACGGUUCGCCCAUCCUUUUUAUACUGCAUUGCGUGCUUCUCGCUAUUGCACAGCUAAGCUACCAUUUUGCGUGACAGACAGAUGUAUACGGGUAUUAUAAUAUAGAUUAAUUUCAAACCGAUUAGUCCCUGCAGUCAUUUUGGUGUCAGCGGUAUGAAAAACUAUGCAACAAUACUAAGUAAAAGUCCUAUUACUUCAGUAAAAAUUGAAAUAAUGACUUGAAACUUAGUAUUACAUGUUUUUAGACCAGUUUGAUGAAAUGAACCCAAAAAUUUUUUUUACUACUAUCAUAGCUUCUGAGUUCUUAAUUUUGGCCAUUUUUGGAGACGCCGAUAAACUUUUUUUGACAGCAUAUCAAUUUUGACAAGCCAUGUGUACCGAAAACAUUCUAAGUGAUUCUCAGGAUUAAAAAUAAUUCAAACAGAUAAAAUGUGUCCCAGGUUUAGGACUAAAUACCUUAUCCAGCUCAGAGAAAGUGGGAAUGAGCUUCUAAAGCACAGUGUUAAAUACAUAAUCUAAAUUUUAUGCCGUAUAAAUACAAAGUGGUUAGAAAGUUAUUUUUUGUACACCUGGAUCUGCAACACGUUUACCUUGCACUAAUCGCCCCGUCUGGUGCCACUCGCAAUUAAUUUUUGAAUAUCCACAGGAACUUUUUAUGCAAAAUGAAAAAUGCUAAACAACUGUAUUUGCUUUGCAGAAGUAACAAUAGGCUUUAUCUUUAUCAUAAGUCGUGUGAAUGUUGGUUUAUGAAAAAGAUAUUAUACCCUUAAUGCUAUAAGUGCUCCACUGGAUUUGUAACACAUUACACUAAGUGUCCUCCAUGUGAAACAGUUUACGCUUUACUAAGUCUUAACCUGAAGACUUUAGGUCUUCCCACUUAAAGUGAAUAUUACUUCUGGCUAUACUUUCCCAAAUUUUGUUAUUUCAUAAAAGAAAACUGAAAAUCUACAAAAUUAUUUAUAUAUAUGUGCAGAAAUUUAUUUAUGAAAUAUAGGUUUCAGUUUGUUGUGGAAACAUGUUUACCAACAUGCAAUGUCUUGCAUACCUAACUAGCUAUAUACUCAAGUCUUGAAUGUUCACUGUUAUGGGAGGUCCAAAUAACUACCUAGCUUUUUUUUAUUUAAAAUGACAGAAUGCCUUACAAAAUCUUUUGUGCAGCUAGCUACAUUAAAGCAAUAUAUUUAGCUUUUGUACUUUAUCACUUAAUUAUUUAAUAACAAAUGCGCCCUGGAGUGCUGGCAUGGUACUGGCUAGGUAGCUUAAAAUCACAAAAUAAAUAUUAUCCAGAUGUGACCAUCCCUCAUCAUCAGACAUCGGAACGGCGUUUCUGUUCUUUACUUUUCAUUGUAGGGUACCUCAAAUUCUUGUAAAUCCAAUUAACAAAAAUUACUUAAGAAUUCCUCUUCUUGUAUAUUUGCAGCUUAUUGACACCCUCUUAUUUUAGAAUAUUCUCAGAAAUAAUAGACCAAAAGAAAUUACAUCACAGUUUCUUGUCCACCGCCCACGUGUGUUUGAGAACAACCCACACAAAAAAAUUGUGUGCAAUGGGAGUGAGUGAUGUAAUCUUUCAAUGCGUGUGAUGAAAAGAAAGCGAAACCGUUAUUGUUUUUUCUGCCAAAAAUUUAUUUAAUAAAUCUUGAUAAAGUUAAAAAACUGUUUUGA